UUAACUCAUAUUUGUAUGGAAUGGGAUCGUUUGCCUACGUUGGCCGCUAGGGGCGCUGUUCCAACUGCAUACAAAAUUGGGUUA
rnacentral:pre_miRNA from 1 species